ACGGAAGGCAGCAGUCGGGAAUAUUGCGCAAUGGAGGAAACUCUGACGCAGUGACGCCGCGUAUAGGAAGAAGGUUUUCGGAUUGUAAACUAUUGUCGUUAGGGAAGAUUAAAGACUGUACCUAAGGAGGAAGCCCCGGCUAACUAUGUGCCAGCAGCCGCGGUAAUACAUAGGGGGCAAGCGUUAUCCGGAAUUAUUGGGUGUAAAGGGUGCGUAGACGGAGAUACAAGUUGGUUGUGAAAUCCCUCGGCUCAACUGAGGAACUGCAACCAAAACUAUAUCCCUUGAGUGUCGGAGGGGAAAGUGGAAUUCCUAGUGUAGCGGUGAAAUGCGUAGAUAUUAGGAGGAACACCAGUGGCGAAGGCGGCUUACUGGACGGUAACUGACACUGAGGCACGAAAGCGUGGGGAGCAAACAGGAUUAGAUACCCUGGUA
rnacentral:rRNA from 1 species